rnacentral:sRNA from 1 species
AGCCAAGUUUAGAUGUGACAUUUGAACCAUACCCCGGACCCUGGACAGACUCAGCCGUAGACACAAAACAGACCAGUACGAUGGGGCCAUCUUGAUGUUUCCUCGGGGCUAUCAUGGCUUGGACGUCUCGAUGCAGUAAAUUGUCAGUUAUAGAGAAGCGUCUUGGCUCUAUUGAUGUCAAGCACUACGAUAUGGAAAAUUGAAGAGAAAAAAAAAGACUUUUACUGUUAUUCACAUGUCACAUGAGUAUGAGUGUGUUUCUUUCCUGUGCGUGUCUUUAUUAUUAGCUAUUAUCAUUUUGUACAUAAAGUUGUAUAGUUUGAGAGAAUGAUUUCAAUUUGUAAUUCCAGAGUUCCUGAAAUGGACGAAUGCUUACAUUACAAAGAACAUUCAGAUAACAAAGUGUAUUAAUUGACUGUGUAAAUACAGUGGUUGUAUAAAAUAAAUGAUUCAUAUCAUAUA